GAGUUUGAUCGUGGCUCAGGACGAACGCUGGCGGCGCGCCUAACACAUGCAAGUCGAACGGAGUUAUAUUGGCAGAAGUUUUCGGACGGACGCGGAUAUAACUUAGUGGCGAACGGGUGAGUAACACGUGAGCAACCUACCCUUCAGAGGGGGACAACAGUUGGAAACGACUGCUAAUACCGCAUAAGACCACGGUGUGGCAUCACACAGAGGUCAAAGGAGAAAUCCGCUGAAGGAUGGGCUCGCGUCCAAUUAGCUAGAUGGUGAGGUAACGGCCCACCAUGGCGACGAUUGGUAGCCGGACUGAGAGGUUGAUCGGCCACAUUGGGACUGAGACACGGCCCAGACUCCUACGGGAGGCAGCAGUGGGGAAUAUUGCACAAUGGAGGAAACUCUGAUGCAGCGACGCCGCGUGAGGGAAGAAGGUCUUCGGAUUGUAAACCUCUGUUGUCAGGGACGAUGAUGACGGUACCUGACGAGGAAGCCACGGCUAACUACGUGCCAGCCGCCGCC
rnacentral:rRNA from 1 species